rnacentral:rRNA from 1 species
CUACGGGGUGCUCCAGUGAGGAAUAUUGCACAAUGGGGGGAACCCUGAUGCAGCAACGCCGCGUGGAGGAUGACGCAUUUCGGUGUGUAAACUCCUUUUAUAAGUCAAGAAAAUGACGGUAGCAUAUGAAUAAGCACCGGCUAACUCCGUGCCAGCAGCCGCGGUAAUACGGAGGGUGCAAGCGUUACUCGGAAUCACUGGGCGUAAAGGACGCGUAGGCGGGUUGGAAAGCCAGGUGUGAAAUCCUACAGCUUAACUGUAGAACUGCACUUGAAACUUCUAAUCUAGAGUAUGGGAGGGGGAGAUGGAAUUAGUGGUGUAGGGGUAAAAUCCGUAGAUAUCACUAGGAAUACCUAAAGCGAAGGCGAUCUCCUGGAACAUUACUGACGCUAAGGCGUGAAAGCGUGGGGAGCAAACAGGAUUAGAUACCCGCGUAGUC